AUUGAACGCUGGCGGCAGGCCUAACACAUGCAAGUCGAACGAGUGGCGGACGGGUGAGUAAUGUCUGGGAAUCUGCCUGAUGGAGGGGGAUAACUACGGGAAACGGUAGCUAAUACCGCAUACCAUCAGAUGUGCCCAGAUGGGAUUAGGUAGUUGGUGGGGUAACGGCUCACCAAGGCGACGAUCUCUAGCUGGUCUGAGAGGAUGACCAGCCACCCUGGGACUGAGACACGGCCCAGACUCCUACGGGAGGCAGCAGUGGGGAAUAUUGCACAAUGGGCGCAAGCCUGAUGCAGCCAUGCCGCGUGUAUGAAGAAGGCCUUCGGGUUGUAAAGUACUUUCAGGGGGGAGGCGUUACCCGCAGAAGAAGCACCGGCUAACUCCGUGCCAGCAGCCGCGGUAAUAC
rnacentral:rRNA from 1 species